UCGCGGCGGCGCGCGCUGCGCGACGGGCUUAACCCCCCGCGGCCGGCUGCGUGCCGCCGCAGAAGAGAGUGGGGACCCCGAGUAGGGUGGUGGCUGGGGCGGCCUCCUGAGGUGGUUCCUCCAGGUCCGCGCGGUCCACCCCGCCCCUCCGCCCCCAGGACGGGGGUCGGGAAUGUGAACUGAUGCGCGUGCCCGUUGGCGGCUACCCCUGCCUCGGUCACCUCUAAACUGUCCGGCCUAGAGGGCUUGGAGUUCAUGAGGGCUGGAGUGUGGCACUGCGAGGGAGGCGUGGAUUACGGAACUGUGGUCUUUAGGCAGAGAGACACCAACAGGUGGCUUCAUGGCAGGAGGAUUCUCAUACCAUCAGCCUUGGAAAGACAAAGUCUCUAACCUCGCGCUCUUUCUCUUUCCAUGUCGCUGUUUUUCUCAGACCUGUGAACAAAUAUUGAAACUUGUUUUUACCUGGGAUCAAGAGGGGCUUAAUGUCCCCAAAAGAUCACACUAUGUUACGAUCUGAAUAAAAGGAUUAAUUACGUGUUUUGCUAACUCAGUUAAACUAAAAAGCAGACUUGCAAGAGAGAACCUAUUCAGGUACCUGAAUAAUACCAAUAAUCCAAUAAUGUUUAUUAAGUAUUAGUUUAUAUGACUGCAUAAUUAAUGGAAAGACUGUUUGGAAUGAUAUUAGGAUUGGAAGGGACUUCCGUGGUGGUCCAGUGCUUAAGACUCCGUGCUCCCAAUGCAGGGGAUCUGGGGUUCAGAUCCAUGGUUGGGGAACUAUUAACAGAUCCCACAUGCCACAACUAAAACAUCAGGCAUAUAACAAUAACAAGGAAAAAGAUCCUUCCAGCCACAGCUAAGACCUGGUGCAGCCAAAUAAAUACUACAAAUACGUGUGUGGGUGUGUGUGCUCACACAGUAUUGGCACAACAUUCUACUAAACUCUUAAAUAUAUUAUCCCUUUCAGUACUAGGACCAACCUUGAGAUAUGGGAAUUACUAUACCCAUUUUAGUAGCAAAGUCAUUGAGAUUCAGGGAAAUAAUGAUUUGCCUAAGGUAACAAAACUAGUAGAUGAGAGAAUGUGAAAUUUGAACCUGAAUUUGAAACUCUUGUCUUUCUGGCCCCAAUACCCCUUUUACUUUAUGCCGUGUUGCUGUAAUUUUAAUAUUUAAGAGGGAAAUAUAAACGAAGCAUCCAGCAAAGCAAAUGUCUAUGUUGCUCUUGUAAUUUUAUUAUGAAAGUAUACUUUAAGGUAAAGUGCUAUAAGGCAAUUUUGGAAAUUUUCUGUUUUUAUUUCUCCCACAGUAGGAUAUUUGCCAUCUGUUACCCAAAAGAAAUAUUUCACUUGUUUCACAUGUGUCUUUUGAAGGCUCCCAAGAAUGUUCUGAUGCUAACAUUUUGUUAUUGUAAGGGGAUCCUUACUAAAUGCAUCACUCUGAACUGUUUCACAAGCAGUCUUUCCCUGCACAUUCUUUCCACCAAAAUAUGUGUUCCCAGAUCUUUAUGGAAUAUUCUGACAUGUGAAUGCCCCCAGGUCUAUGUGAGCUAGCUGCUUUAGGGACAUAGUAAUAGAUGAAGGAAAAAGUUUUUUUGAGCAAUGAGGUGGUAGGAUUUGUACAUUUUUGUUCAUUUCAUAUCAAAUCCUUCACAUUUUUCUUUGAUGAUGUGAAGACAUAAAAGUUUUCCUUUCUCAAGAGCAGAUACUCAUUUUUGCGGUUUUCACAAAAUUGACUUUCGCAAACAAUGCUAUGUUUCACUCUACGCAGCUCUCUGGAAAACAUUAGUUCAAACAUUAAAAAUAGGAUGCUACUUUUCAGAGCCCAAUCUUUUUAUUAGUAAAGUGUAUGUAUGUAAGCACACAUUGGAAGCAUUUUUAAAAUUUUUAAAACUCCUUACAAACCUGUGGAAACCUAGCAAAGCAACUGUCUUUGUUUACAUUUAUUUGCUUUAAGUUCUGUUUCCAAAAAUGCUUUCUUAUCUAGAUUUACUACUUUUUCUUCCUUUCCUUUUUUGGUGAGGAGGGGAAUUAUAGACUCACAAGAAGUUACAAAAAUAAUACAGAAAAGACCUCUUUACUCUUUAUCCAGUUUCCCCCAUUGGCAGCAUCUUAUAUAUCUAUAAAACAUUAUUAAAACUAAGAAAUUGACAUUUCACUGUCUUUUGAUUAGUAGUUUCUUUCUGUGUUUCAUCAUAUUAAAAACUUAACCAUUU
ensembl:lncRNA